rnacentral:rRNA from 1 species
UACGUAGGUGGCGAGCGUUGUCCGGAUUUACUGGGCGUUAAGAGCGCGCAGGCGGCUGGUCAAGUCCGAUGUGAAAGCUCCCGGCUUAACUGGGAAAUUGCAUCGGAAACUGAUCGGCUGGAAGGUGGGAGAGGGUAGCGGAAUUCCCGGUGUAGUGGUGAAAUGCGUAGAUAUCGGGAGGAACACCAGUGGCGAAAGCGGCUACCUGGCCCAUUCUUGACGCUGAGGCGCGAAAGCUAGGGGAGCAAACGGG